UACAGAGGUCUCAAGCGUUGUUCGGAUUCAUUGGGCGUAAAGGGUGCGUAGGCGGCGCGGUAAGUCGGGUGUGAAAUUUCGAGGCUUAACUUCGAAACUGCAUUCGAUACUGCCGUGCUAGAGGACUGGAGAGGAGACUGGAAUUUACGGUGUAGCGGUGAAAUGCGUAGAUAUCGUAAGGAAGACCAGUGGCGAAGGCGGGUCACUGGAGAGUUCCUGACGCUGAGGCACGAAGGCCAGGGGAGCAAACGGG
rnacentral:rRNA from 1 species